UCCGAUAUGGUCCAGUGGUUAGGAUUUCUGGUUUUCAUGAUAAGUGAAAAUCCCAGACGGCCCGAGUUCGAACCUCGGUAUCGGAA